GACCAGGGUAAUACCCCUGGGUAGAAAUAUAGUAGCUCAAUUUACCCAGUGUAUUAGCAUUUAUUGUGUUUUUAUUAACUUAUUUUAGGAAGAAGUUUCUGUAUCAUCACAAGAGCUUGGCCAUUGACCUAUUUGGCUGGUCAUGAACUCAUGAUAAGAUCUUUGUAUCGAAAAAGCAAAAAUUGUUCCAGGUGGCACUCCCAGAGAAGCAAAGAAAUUCAAGCCUCGAUGUAUUCAAUGCGAACUGCAACAGAGGACAAUGAGUACAUUUAAUCGUUGUGGUGGCCUUUGGUCACCUCAUUUAUGGCUUGUAAGUGUAAUGGAAGUUAGUGAGUUAGUUUUUAGUAAGCACACAAAUAAAGACAAGGUCACUUGUUUCCCAGUAGACAAAAUAGUGAAUGAAGUAUUGGCUUCUUCCCUUGUGAAAAACUUGUGGUGCAAUAUUAUUGCAAAUUAUGAUAUGGAAAUCUCUAAAGAAUGUCAGUUCCUGUGUUUAGAAAAUAUUGUAAAGUUAUAUGUUACUGUUAGAUGUUUUCAUUUGCCAAAUAUACUGUAAAUAAUGUGUGACUAGUGAAGUGAUGUAUUAAUCAAUAUUAAAUGUAUUCCUUGAACCCUUUUGCCACCAAAGAAGUACAUUAGUUUUUUUAAGAUCACGUGUCACCAAAUGUCCAGCUUAAAUAUAAUCUAGGGUAUUGAAAAACCAUAACCAGUCACUGUCACCACUGUGCUGUCACACAUGGUAUGUGACACAUUUGAAGUGCAUGAUCACAUGAUCUACUGAAAUCUAGCAGGUUUCUAAUUAGCAAUCCAACCUGAGGUUUAUAAAUAUUUGAUGUUUGGAUGAUUUUUAUAGUUUAAUUAAUUUUAUGAGAUGUAUUUUGUAUGAUUGUCGUAAGUAAAGGAGUCCAAUAUAGUUAAUUAAAAAUCUGCUAAAUUUUAUGAGAUUUUAGCACGUCAUGUGACAAGCACCUACCAGGGUCUUUUCUCCCCAAAAGAAAAGAUCCUGGAUACAAGGUUGGUCGAGACAUGCAUUGUUACUAAAAUAUUUAUUGCAACUGAAUGCUAAAUGUAAAUAUUUUUUAGUAGGUUUUAAUUGCAAAUAUUUAUAUAGUGAUGAAAAAAUAUUUACACUAAUUAACUACUACAUUUCAGUUUAAUUAAUUAAAGGGUAUUAUUAUGGAGUAAAUCUAGCAUUAUUUGAAAGAGAUACACUUAAAUACUGAUUGGAUAGGAAUGAGUAUUUAACACUCCUUGUGAAGUGCUACAUCACCUUUCACUGUGGUCAGCUUAUAAGCAAUCCUCCCCAAGCUAACUGAUUCAGGGACAAAUAUUGCUGUUUAGCCAAUCAUAAUGAAGCGCAAUCUUACUAAUAUACUGUAGCACUUCAUGGGAGUGGUAAUAGACCUUAAAAGUGCUUAUAUCACACAAUUUUGAAUCAAUAAAAACAUUAGGUAUAUUUUGUCCUGCAUGUUUCCCACAUUGCAUUGCAAUUUAUUGUUUAGCACUGAUAUGACUUACUUAACCCAUUCAGUAACAUUGUGCCAUGAUGGGCCCUACUUUACUCUGUCUAAUGCCAGACUAUUUUACUCUGUUUAACACCAGACAAUUUUAUUUGUCAAGGGUAGAGUGUUGGUGUUUAAUGGGUUAAGCACUUCUAAGGUACUGUUAAUUUUGAAAAUUCUUAACAAGGUAAACUGUUAGAUCAUUUUUGUGGCAUGAAGUACAUAUUGGUGGCAGCACUAAAUUGCUUCAAAGUUAUAUCAUGCAUAGCUAGAUCAAGCAAAAUUAUAAUGAGCUUUAGCUCAUUUGUUUUAACAGCAUGGAAAUUCUCUAAAUUUAACCCUUUAAGUGGCAAUGUACCCAGAUGCAUCCUACUUUAUUAUUUUACUCUGUCUAUUACAGUAAUGCCAGAUGAUUUUACUCGUAGCACUGUGCACAAUACAAUAGUACCUCCAUAAGAAAUGUUCAAUAUGUCUACAGACUUCAAGAGUUCUCGCAAAAUGAUCAAUAUUUUGCAUUACUUGUUAACUAUUGUUCUCAUAACAUGUUCAAGAUCACUAUUUCUUAAUUGCUUUAUGUUCUUCUCUUUGGGCAAUGACUCCUCACUGACAUUACACAUUUACACCACUUGCUUCGCUUUAAUACCAGAAUGCCGUCCAGAAUUGAAACAUUUCCUUGAAUGGUUGUCAGCUGCUGUUGGGUUUUACAGUAAAAUAUCAUUCCUUCUCCCUUGUGCUCGCUGGUAUUAAACCGAAAUACUCUUAAACAUCGUAUAUCAUCCUGGAAGAACCGUUCUGUGAGCACAAACUCAAAUCCUUCGCUCAACAAAAACCUUGUCAGGGCAACAACUGAAUUUACAGUCUCUUUAAUUGAUAGUCCAGUAUUAAAAGGUUUGGGCAAUCUUAUUACUGCCUGGUUUUGCCUGGUAGAUAUAAGUUGUUCUCACGUUAUUGCCUCUUUCGCACAGUUUUAACUCAUUGCUUACGAAAAAAAAUAAGAAUACACGUACGACAAUCAAUGUAUUUCAAUCUUGGGAUGUUUCUAUGCUCGAAAACAUGCAGCUCGCCUUUAAUAUCGAUCUGGCGACGUAAACUUUUGUCCAUAUGUCGAUUCUUUGUAAUUAUGUUUCCUAACCAAGCCUCUCGAGCUCUAGUUGAUCAUUCGUCUUUGCCAGACGGAAUUCGAAAGAUUCCGAGCCCAACAUGCGUUCUGCUUGUUCCACAACCAAAUAUUUAGCAAUUGGCUCGAGGCAUUGUAAAACAAUCGCCAAACCAACAGCUUUUUUCGCUUCGCAUGUCAUGGUAUAAAUUCGACACUCAUUGUAUAGAAUCACUAUGGCCAUUGUUUACGAUCUUGCACGCAAUGCACUAUAUGUUCCACGUGACCGAAAAUCCAACAUAUUUCGUCACGUGACCCAGCCUUCCAAACCCGG